CUACGGGCCGCAGCAGUGGGGAAUAUUGCACAAUGGAGGAAACUCUGAUGCAGCAACGCCGCGUGGAGGAUGACACUUUUCGGAGCGUAAACUCCUUUUAUAUAGGAAGAAGAUGACGGUACUAUAUGAAUAAGCGCCGGCUAACUCCGUGCCAGCAGCCGCGGUAAUACGGAGGGCGCAAGCGUUACUCGGAAUCACUGGGCGUAAAGAGCGUGUAGGCGGAUUAAAAAGUCAGAAGUGAAAUCCUAUAGCUUAACUAUAGAACUGCUUCUGAAACUCUUAAUCUAGAAUAUGGGAGAGGUAGAUGGAAUUUCUGGUGUAGGGGUAAAAUCCGUAGAGAUCAGAAGGAAUACCGAUUGCGAAGGCGAUCUGCUGGAACAUUACUGACGCUAAGGCGUGAAAGCGUGGGGAGCAAACAGGAUUAGAUACCCGGGUAGUC
rnacentral:rRNA from 1 species